CUUUCCUCUCUCUCUCUCUCUCUCUCUCUCUCUCUCUUUAUGUUAGCUCGUGGGCACGGUGGAGAGCUCGAGCUCGGGAGGUUUUCGUCGUCGACGUCGCGCCGCGGUGCCGUUCGAGCGUGCGUUCGUCGUCGUAGCGUUGUGAGGAGGCCGGGCGAGGGUGUGAUUCCGCCGUUCUCGACGUCGCGCCGGGUUGGAUUUAGCUACCGAGGUGGGUUUAUCAUCGGAAUCCUACUCCUAUAAUAUUGUUGGUCGACAUGUAUCAUUAAUAUUACAAGUUAUUAUUGUUUAGCUCAAAUUCAUGAGUAGGUAUGUUGUAGACAUAUAAACUGAAUUGGGGGCAUGUUAUUAGUUGUUAUUAAUUAUACAUGUUGGACUUGGAUAAAACAUAGGAGAAAACCAGCGUUCGGGACCUGGCAUAUGUUAAACUACCUAAUUUAGCCCUAGGGGCCGUUGUAUUUUUAUACUGUUGCAGUAUCCUCAUAGUGAGUAUCCCAGAUAGUUCAGAUUUCAGUUACGCUCGUGCUGGGAUGCCGAGCCGAUUUUUACAGUAGUGUUUACAGUAUUCCGGAUUAGUGGGUGCCGUAGUGGUUGACGGCGGACCCGGAUUUGAUCGUUCCGAUAUCAUAUUGUGCCGAGGGCACGUGACUAGUGGUUGGUAGUACUGUUAGACCUGCUUUCUUGACUUUAGCCUAUGAGAGGCUGAUUGAGCUCGACAGAGAUAAGCUUGCAUACUCGGUUGGGUCGCGCCCACGAGUGUCGCUCCGGAGUCUGGCUUUGUGCUUUCGCGUUGAUGUCGCUGAUUUGUUGCUAUCCACGGACUGUUUAGCAUGGAGGUAGCGCGGCUUAGACAGGCGGGACGGGUGCGUACACAGUCCCUAAUGAGAUUGGGUCAGAAGUGAUAGUAGACACAGUUGGAUAGUGUAGUGGCAUGUAGCUGUGGAUUUCUUUCCGGGUUUACCUUUUAGCCUUGUUUCCUACUGUAAUCUUAGUGGGUGAGCUGAUGAUUUUGAGGGCGGUGCCCACUGAGGACUACUUGUUUUACAGUAGUUCUCACGCCCAGUGGUUACCCUGUAUUUUGCAGAGCCUGCUGUUCCGGCUGCUGCGUCUUUAGAGGCUGAUCGAGGCAAGG
rnacentral:lncRNA from 1 species